rnacentral:rRNA from 1 species
UACGUAGGGGGCGAGCGUUGUCCGAAUUUAUUGGGCGUAAAGAGCGUGUAGGCGGUUCGGUAAGUCUGUCGUGAAAUCCUGAGGCUCAACCUUGGACGUGCGAUGGAUACUGCCGGGCUAGAGGAUGGUAGAGGCGAGUGGAAUUCCCGGUGUAGCGGUGAAAUGCGCAGAUAUCGGGAGGAACACCAGUAGCGAAGGCGGCUCGCUGGGCCAUUCCUGACGCUGAGACGCGAAAGCUAGGGGAGCGAACGGG